GGCGGCACGCCCAACACAUGCAAGUCGAACGCAGUACCAAUACUGAGUGGCAAACGGGUGAGUAUAAUGUGGGAAUCUGCCUUUCGGUUUGGAAUAACACGGGGAAACUUGUGCUUAUACCGAAUAAGCCCUUACGGGGAAAGUUUUAAUGCCGAAAGAUGAGCCCGCACUUGAUUAGCUAGUUGGUAAGGUAAAAGCUUACCAAGGCAACGAUCAAUAGCUGUUCUUAGAGGAAGACCAGCCACAUUGGGACUGAGACACGGCCCAGACUCCUACGGGAGGCAGCAGUGGGGAAUCUUGCACAAUGGGGGAAACCCUGAUGCAGCGAUGCCGCGUGAGUGAAGAAGGCCUUUGGGUUGUAAAACUCUUUCGUCGGGGAAGAAAAUGACUGUACCCGAAUAAGAAGGUCCGGCUAACUUCGUGCCAGCAGCCGCGGUAAUACGAAGGGACCUAGCGUAGUUCGGAAUUACUGGGCUUAAAGAGCUCGUAAGUGGUUAAAAAAGUUGAUGGUGAAAUCCCAAGGCUCAACCUUGGAACUGCCAUCAAAACUUUUUAGCUAGAGUGUGAUAGAGGUAAGUGGAAUUUCUAGUGUAGAGGUGAAAUUCCUAGAUCUUAGAAAGAACACCAAAUGCGAAGGCAACUUACUGGGUCACUACUGACACUGAG
rnacentral:rRNA from 1 species